rnacentral:rRNA from 1 species
GACGAACGCUGGCGGCGUGCCUAAUACAUGCAAGUAGAACGCUGAAGGAGGAGCUUGCUUCUCCGGAUGAGUUGCGAACGGGUGAGUAACGCGUAGGUAACCUGCCUGGUAGCGGGGGAUAACUAUUGGAAACGAUAGCUAAUACCGCAUAACAGUAGAUGUUGCAUGACAUUUGCUUAAAAGGUGCAAUUGCAUCACUACCAGAUGGACCUGCGUUGUAUUAGCUAGUUGGUGAGGUAACGGCUCACCAAGGCGACGAUACAUAGCCGACCUGAGAGGGUGGUCGGCCACACUGGGACGGAGACACGGCCCAGCCGCCUACGGGAGGCAGCAGUAGGGAAUCUUCGGCAAUGGACGGAAGACUGACCGAGCAACGCGGCGUGAGUGAGGAAGGUUUUCGGGUCGUAAAGCUCGGUUGUAGGAGAAGAACGAGUGUGAGAGUGGAAAGUUCACACUGUGACGGUAUCUGACCAGAAAGGGACGGCUAACUACGUG